rnacentral:lncRNA from 1 species
GACGCAAAGAUGAAGGAAUUUAUGGCAUGAAGAGCCGCAAUCAUCGGCAAAACAAGAAAAUACACAGAGGACUGUUCAAGCCAUCAUCAAGUUGCUGCUGUCCAUCAUCAACAGGAACCCCGGGCCUCACUCGCCACGAACAGAAUUCUUCCCACUCUUCCUCUUUGUCUUCCUCCUCCUCCUCCUCCUCCUUCUUCUGCUCCUGCUCUAACCACUCCUCUCCUGUGGGGUGUCCUUCAGACACAGAAACGACAAAUCCAUCCCCAAGCGUCUGGGACGUCACAACAAAGUUGACAGACUAUUAGGCACCCUGCGCUUGUGGCCGUCCGGCAGAUAUGCUGGAUUAACUAUGAAUGAUUCAACAGCAUAAAAAGAGACAAUAAGAAGAAUGUAAUAUAAUCCAGAAGCCCUGCUCCAGCCGAUAAUGUACUUUUUUCUGAAAGUUUCAUUUUAUUUUGUGAGUUUUUUUUAUUGUUUUUGUUUGCAUGUAAAAUAACAAGGGUUUGAUUUGAGAGUGUGCGAAUGUGUGUGUGCACGUGUGUGUAGCUCUAUGAGUGACAAUGUCCUUGAAGUACUAUCAGUAAUUGUGUCUGUUUUCAUGCCACUGUGGAGGAUAAGGGGAGAGAACAGAGUUGUAUAGUUUUUGAUAUACAGAGAAAAACCCUGGCCUUUUUUCUUCCUGUUUUGCUUUUUGUGUCGUCUAAAAAAAAAAAAAAAAAACUAUAAAAAGAAAACAGUAUAAGGUGUGUUGCUCAUGUUGUGCAAACUCUACUCAGCAUUUAUUAAAACAGCUUUCUGGAACGCAACCCAUCUCUGCUUUGGCAGAUACGACGGCUUGCAAAUGGACGCACAGGGACGCAGCGAGACUGUAAAAGUCUCACAACACAUCAAUAUUUGAGUUUGAAGCUCAUGACAAGACUUUGGUUAAACUUCCGAACUGAAAAACGACACACCUGUACACAAAAGGAUGAGAAAAGUGAUGGAGUGUCUAAAGAAGGGAAAACUGCUUUUUUUAUUUUUUUCCAGAGCACAUCAUACAGCUACAGGUUUAACCCAAUGGACUAUAUUUCUUUCUUUUUCUUUUUAAACUAUACUUAUGUGAAUGUUUUUGAACUCGUAAUGGACGCUUCAUAUAAUACAAAAAAACACCUCCGUCCUUAAUACAGCUCUGCAGCUCUUUCCUUAUUUUGGCAACGCGUUGUUCUUUUUGAGGGUUUAUCGAAUAAAAAAAGGACCUGUUUGGAAAUAUGCA